GUUCCGACUCAUGACCGGGAUCAUUACCGCUGUGACCGCUCCAUCUUUCAGUUUCAAACGAUCUGUAAAUCCAGCGUGGAACUGGGACUUUGUUUAUGAAACCAUAAGCACCGAUCCUGAAGGCCCGAGCUGCCACGGAAAAACACGAGAUAUUCUCCAUUCAUUUUAACCAAUAAAAAAAGUGAUUGCAACUAUCAGUUUCUAUGGUUAUUUUAAUAACAAAUAUCGAGAGCGCAUCAAUGUAAUGCGUGAACACAAAUCUCUCGGCUCCACUUUGGGAAGCAAGGUUAUCUUUCACUCACAACCAAAAACACACUUCUUUGAUGACAUAGUAGUUUUUGUGAAGUCCUGUGACCUGUGCUGCCGACGACUUCCGUAAACCCGAAUGCACGUUGAUGGGCGUGCUCUUGCUCUCUGGCUCUGGUCGACGUGUGCGCGCGCGUUCUUCCAGGAGAAGUGCCAUACCAGGAAUUCCGACCUUUCUGAUGUCACACAGGCACAUACUCGAAAAAAAGAUCGCAAGAUUUAUGAGGAUUUGGAAGAGUAUUUUUGGCACAGUUGGUAGAUUAAUGUUGGUGGACUUGAAAAAUGGCGUGUACUGUCUUUCCGCGGAUGAAACAAAAUUUCUUCUGAUGUUAAUUCAUGUUUAUUUGAUCGUUAUUAACUAGUAGGAAUAGAUGAUCGAUUCACGAGCCGCUUGAGGCACUACAGCGAUCUUUCACGGGACAUUAAAGAGUCACAAAAUGGUAUUUAUUGUUUAAAUUUCUUGACAAAAUGACAAAAUUUGAAAUUUGAAAUUUGAGACUUUGUUUCCUAUUAAAUUAACCUGCUCUGUUUUGUCUGUCGUCACGUUGUCAGUGUCCACUUUGCUCCGCGAUGUAUUUUUACAUGACUUGUUGUACAUAACAACAGUAACUAAAGGGGGCGGGUCUUUGCUAACGGUCAAUUCACUGCCAUUAUAUGGAUGGGCUUUUUUAAAAUUUUUUAUUUCCCUUUUGAGGUCCAUAAAAGAAAGAAGGGCAUACGGCAUUCGAACACCAGGCCAUGGUCUCCUCAGCAGAAGAAGAGGAAGAGGAAGUGGAAGAAGAAGAAGAUGACGACUAAUGGAUACAAUAGGUGCCUACACACCUUCGGUGCUUGGCCCAUAAAAAAAUGCUUCAUACUUCAUUAGCAAUCAUAUAGAAGUGCACUGCAUCAAAGCGGUGACCUGUGCAUGGGCCUGUGCAGGAGUGUGUGCCCCCCGCUGGCUCAGGGACACCCUGCACAAAAGAAGCUGCAUUCUUCACAUUCCCUCUGAGGAGAGUUCCUGUAACCUGAGGUGGAGUGAGACAUCAGUCCGUACAACCUGUGUGUAACCUGGAGCUCUCCGAGCCUGGUAUUCCUUGAAGACGUCAUUCUGUACUGUAAACCUGAGCUGAACUACAAUAUGAUGUCAUAUCACCUCUGGCACAUGCACUUAAAGUUUCAGUGACGGGGGCAUCACUGCAGCGCACUGAAGGGAAGGAAAGAACAGAAGGGAAAAGAAGGGAGAGAGGUGCCCCAUCCAUCCAUCUAUCCAUCCACUGAAUUUUCCUGCAGGACUUUAUUAACGUAUGGCUGCAUGAGAG